UUUUCCGUAGGGUGACCUGCGGAAGGAUCAUUG
rnacentral:rRNA from 1 species